AUAAUUUUAUUCAUUCUGAAUUUGGUUAGUUGGAUUAUCAGCUGCUUAGCUAUUUUAUUCUCGUUAGAUGAGGUAUUCAUGCAUUGGAUGAUAAUUGUGUAGUUUUAAUAAUAUGUGAAUUCAAGUUGCUGCAUUGGUGGGUAUCCAUAAUUUUCCCAAUGAAAGUGGAAAUUAUGAUUUUAGGGAAGUGGGAUAAUCACUUAACGGACCGAAAAAAUUGUUGACGAUUGGUGACUUGAUAUUAGGGAUGUAAUAUGUGGUUUGUGAUUAUGUACAUCUCAUUUCAGUAAGGAAUGUUAGACCGUCGAAAUAUACGAUAGGCCUACUAGUUUACCUGCAAGUCAAGAGAUGUACUGCUUUGAGAGCUAUGGGGGACUUUCUUUCAAAGGGUGGAUUCGGUUUAAACCAAAUUUUGAAAUUGGUUUGAGUUCAGAUAAAAGUUAAAAUCUCUAAUUUAAGUUUGAGUUUAAAUUCAUUUAAAUUAUUGUAAAUUGUUAUCGGGGGGUUGUUUGUGGGUGAAUAAUGUUGUUAAAGAGGUAUAAAAUGUAAUUGGAUGGAAAAACAAGUCGGCUUUAAAUUGAGGUAUUAAAUUGUUUGAACCGAGUCAUAGAUUUGAUUUGAGCCAAUCGGAUAGAAUUCACCCUUAAUCUUCGUACAUGGCAUACGUUGCUUUAUGCAUGACUCCCACCCAAUUAACAGAAACACUAAAUCACGCCUUCUACCACUUGUUUAUAUUAACCACUACUCCUGUUUUCACUCCGCUACAGUUGACUCAUCAUCUUGAAAAAUUGAGACAAACCAUUUCUCUCUUUCGCUCUCUUAUCCUCAGGUACAGUUGAAAAACGCUUGUGUUGUGAUCCUUUAUUUAAUGGAUAGCGAAAGAAGUUUAAAUGGUACCAGUAGUAGUAAUAAUAAUAACACAGAGAAGACAAUGUCUCAAACUGAAGCUGAGGCUCUGAAGAAA